UACGCAUUAUUAGUUGUUGCGGUAGGUGCAGUAGUAGUUUAUAGUAAACUGAAAAACGCGAUCCAGGUAUAUUAACUUACAUAUUACAAAUCAUACAAAUUUUUUCAUCGAUGUCUAAGUUUUAUACUAAGGUUACCCUGGUAUGGAGUAUUCUAUGUUUUUUUGGAAUAAUCCACAAUUCGAUGGCCUUAUAUUUAUUUGAAGGUGAUAUAUGUCAUAGAGGUCAGAGCAGAAGUGGGUCGGAUCAUAUAUGUCGUCGUCUUCAAGAUUGUCCUUUAGGAAGUUUUUUAAUAAAAAACUAUGGUUUACACCUUCAAUCAUGUUCAUUUGAUAAAAUGAAUCCUAUAGUAUGUUGCCCUCCAUCUAAAGUAGAUAAUAGAAUAGAUAUAAAUCAACCAAAAGCACCAUUAACUGUAAACUCAGACGUAAAAAAUCCAAAACCUUACUCUGCCUCAGAAAUGUGUCAACAAUAUUUUGAUUUAAUUUAUGGCGACAGAGAAAAAUUCGAUGAAAUUAAGCCUUACACAAGAAUGGCCUCACCAGAUGCAACGGACAUAAUUGGUGGUACACCUGCAAAACCUAAAGAGUUAUCUCAUAUGGCUUUAAUUGGUUAUGGAAACAUAUUGGAAAAUGUAGAAUGGAAAUGUGGUGGUACAUUAAUAAGUAAUAAGUGGAUUUUGACAGCAGCCCAUUGUGAAAAAUCAGACAAAUAUUUUGCGAAAUAUGUCCGUCUUGGAGAUCUUGAUAUUGAAACCGAUACUGACGAUGCAAAACCAAGUGACUUUGAAAUUAUUCAACGAGUAAUUCAUCCUAAUUAUAAGCAAACCGUGUCUCGCUAUAAUGAUAUAGCGUUAUUCCGUUUAAACAAAGAUGUCAAAUUGUCAGAGUAUAUACGGCCUAUUUGUCUUAAUUCUGAUCCAUCUCUUAAUUUUUAUGAAGUAAUAGCUUCAGGAUGGGGUCAAACGGAGACAGAUGGUCCAUCAAGUACUGAUUUGUUAAAAGUUACACUGUUAGUCAAAUCCAUAAAUGAAUGUAACCAAACUUAUGGAGUUCAAAAUAAACUCCAAAAGGGUAUUAUGGGCGAUAGUCAGAUAUGUGCUGGUGCCAACGAAGAUGGAAGAGAUACUUGUUUUGGGGAUUCCGGUGGUCCUCUCCAAAUAAAACAUCCAAAGCUUACAAAUAUGUAUAUUCAAGUCGGAAUUACAUCAUUUGGAAAAUAUUGUGGAGAUAAAAAUUCACCCGGAGUGUAUACUAGAGUAUCCAAAUAUAUUUCUUGGAUUGAAACGGUAGUAUGGCCACCAAGAUUAGAAUAAUGUAAUGUACAUAUAAACAGUUAUCUAUUAUUGACAUCCUUAUUAUGAAGAACUAUUUAAAAUAAAUAAUUUGUUUUGAUUUAAAUUAAAAUCUAAACAUUUAUCAAAAGCUAUAAUUUUAAGAUAUUCAAGAAGAUGCAUUCUAACAUUAAAGUAAUGAUACUUUUAAAAUAAUAAUUAUAAAGAAUAUUUAUGAAAAUAACUGAAAAAGUUAUAUUAUUUCAUGUAGAAAAUAAUUAUUCAGGUUAAAGUAGAUUUUUAUUGUCCGUUCCGUCGAGCUAACAUAAGCAAUAAAGGCAAAACUACGAUACGAUCCAAUAGCUCGUCAUAGGUAGAGUUUAAAAACGUAUCUUUAAAAUUUUAGAGAAUUAUUUAUCAUUAUAAUACAAAAAUAUUUUUUUAAAUAAGAGAAAAUUAUAAUUAGCUCCCAUUUUUUUUUCAACUCCGCCCAUGGUUCUGACCUAAUAAUUUGAAUCUCAUUUUCUUAAAAAUGAGCACAAAAUUUGACCAGAUCUACAGAUAUAACAUUACAAAAUUAUUAAUUUUAAACAAUUAUGAAGUAAGAAAUAUAAAUGAGCUAAAUUAAAAAAAAUAAUAAUAAUAAGUUAAGUAUGUUAGAAUCCAGCAUGUGGAAUAGAGACAUUUUUUUUAUAUGAAUAUUGAUUGAUAUCUGACAGUGAUUAAAAUCAUUGUUAUAAAAUACUUCGAUACGUAUUGAAAAAUUUUAAAAAACAGUUUCCAAACCAAUAUAUUUCAAACAAUUUCAUAAUAUUUUAGAGACUAAUUUUUCAUAAAAUAUAAAUAAUCGUAAUGUUUUUUUUGUUUAAUUUUAAAAUUUGAUUUAGUUUUAAUUGACAUUAUAUAUUUGCUAUUUAAAAAACUAUUAAUAUCGAUCAUUUUUAUUACAGAUAGUAGUUUGAUUUUUGGUUUUAAUACCCAAUAACUCCUAAAAAUCAAGAUUUUGAAUAGAUUUUUAUUUUUCAUCUUUAAGUAUUAACUUUAAUUGUAGGAACAAUUUGAAAUAGAGGUUGAAAUUAGAAACCUGGAGGUUUCAUGCCCAAUAUGGGAGGAGGGUCGAAAAAAUAUGCGGGACAAACUCUUAGUCAGCGUCGUACACUUGGUCUUCUUGUACGGUGUAGGUAGUUAUUCUCAAAUAUUUGCUCAUCAGAGAAAUCUUACUCAUGUCGCAGAGAGGUGCAGCAUUUGGAUCGUUUCGGCUUACCGAAUGGUAUUCGUAAUGGCAACGGGUAUAUAUAGUCACUACCGCCCGCCGAUUUAGUGUUGGAGGAACGAGCUACUAGAUAUUACCUUUACCUGGAUCGUGGCUGGUCUCAAUACCGAGAAACGGCUAGCACUUUGACAUAUGACCAUGUUCUGAAGGCGGGCUCACCUCUCUGGAGAAUUGAGAGGCAAAUGGAACAGGUUCCUCGUCGGAUCCAACUUACUGGAAAAGUGUGUUAACCGGACAGACAGUGAGAUGACUUAUCGUCUCA